rnacentral:rRNA from 1 species
GAUGAACGCUGGCGGCGUGCCUAAUACAUGCAAGUCGAGCGAACAGACGAGGAGCUUGCUCCUCUGACGUUAGCGGCGGACGGGUGAGUAACACGUGGAUAACCUACCUAUAAGACUGGGAUAACUUCGGGAAACCGGAGCUAAUACCGGAUAAUAUAUUGAACCGCAUGGUUCAAUAGUGAAAGACGGUUUUGCUGUCACUUAUAGAUGGAUCCGCGCCGCAUUAGCUAGUUGGUAAGGUAACGGCUUACCAAGGCAACGAUGCGUAGCCGACCUGAGAGGGUGAUCGGCCACACUGGAACUGGAACACGGUCCAGACUCCUACGGGAGGCAGCAGUAGGGAAUCUUCCGCAAUGGGCGAAAGCCUGACGGAGCAACGCCGCGUGAGUGAUGAAGGUCUUCGGAUCGUAAAACUCUGUUAUUAGGGAAGAACAAAUGUGUAAGUAACUAUGCACGUCUUGACGGUACCUAAUCAGAAAGCCACGGCUAACUACGUG